ACUUUUUCUCUUGCAGGCGCUCCAGCUGUGCUGCCUCUGCUGUGCGUCGGUCGCCGCGGCCUUAGCCAGUGACAGCAGCAGCGGCGCCAGCGGAUUAAAUGAUGAUUACGUCUUUGUCACGCCAGUAGAAGUAGACUCAGCCGGGUCAUAUAUUUCACACGACAUUUUGCACAACGGCAGGAAAAAGCGAUCGGCGCAGAAUGCCAGAAGCUCCCUGCACUACCGAUUUUCAGCAUUUGGACAGGAACUGCACUUAGAACUUAAGCCCUCGGCGAUUUUGAGCAGUCACUUUAUUGUCCAGGUACUUGGAAAAGAUGGUGCUUCAGAGACUCAGAAACCCGAGGUGCAGCAAUGCUUCUAUCAGGGAUUUGUCAGAAAUGACAGCUCCUCCUCUCUCGCUGUGUCUACGUGUGCUGGCUUGUCAGGUUUAAUAAGGACACGAAAAAAUGAAUUCCUCAUCUCGCCAUUACCUCAGCUUCUGGCCCAGGAACACAACUACAGCUCCCCUGCGGGUCACCAUCCUCACGUACUGUACAAAAGGACAGCAGAGGAGAAGAUCCAGCGGUACCGUGGC
rnacentral:sRNA from 1 species